GUACUUACCUGGCAGGGGAGAUACCAUGAUCAUGAAGGUGGUUUUCCGAGGGCGAGGCUUAUCCAUUGCACUCCGGAUAUGCUGACCCCUGCGAUUUCCCCAAAAAAGAAAAGAAAAGAAAAGA
rnacentral:snRNA from 1 species